UACGUAGGGUGCAAGCGUUGCCCGGAUUUAUUGGGCGUAAAGGGCGCGCAGGCGGCUACGCACGUUCGUUGUGAAAUCGCCCGGCUCAACUGGGCGGGGUCAGCGAAUACGGCGUGGCUGGAGCAAGCUAGGGGGGCAAUGGAAUUCCCGGUGUAGUGGUGGAAUGCGUAGAUAUCGGGGAGGAACACCCAGUGGGCGAAGGCG
rnacentral:rRNA from 1 species